UUGGCUAGGAUGGGAGAAGCCACCAUUUUGAGUCAGAGCAAGUUGCCCACCACUGUGGAAAGAGAAGUUUUUUCUCCACUCUGCCUGCCCGCCCAGUCCUCUGCAGCUCUGAGGAGCAGAAGUCCUGAUCUCCCGGAUAGCCACACACUGGUCAGCAACCCUGGGGCUGGCUCCCUGAAGCACGACUGUCUGUCUGUCUGUCUGCUGUUCCAUCAGUCUCCCAGCCAUUGGCUCUGUGACUGUUGGGCCCUCACCAGUCUCACUGGGCUCGUAGCGCUCAAUGAGAGAGAGGGCCAAGGCUGGCCCCGCCUCCUCCUCCCGCUGCUGAUGCUGCAGGAACGUCACUAGCUUCUCCACCGACAGGGUCUCCGCAGAACCUGCGGCCUCUGCAAAGGCACGGUCGAUCUCUGCCCGCUGGGUCAGCAUCCUGUAGAAGGUCUCAAUCUCCUCAUCCUCCAGCGAGUCUGUCUGGGAGUGGUCACAUUCCUGCAAACCCAGCACAGCCCAUGGGCAGGGCUCAGAGCUGGCCUCGGGCCAGGCCCACGGCCCUAUAGCCACACCGAGCCAAGCUCACCCUGAAGAUCUUCCUGGCGUAGCUGUCAUCCACCUGUACGUUGAGCUCCUUCAGGAAGUCCUUCACCUCCUUGAAGUUCAUCUUGUUAUCCUUGUUUUUAUCAGCCUUUCGCAAGCAGGAGUGAAUCCAGCUGGGCGAGCAGUCAGGAAAACACACAGCAGCCCGAUGCCCACCAAGAUCCCAGCCACGGGAAGUCGCGGUUGCCCGUGGUCACGUGACCACAAAGCAGGGGCCGAGGACCGGGAGGCCUUCCUUACUAUGGAUGGGUCUUUCCCCUCCUUUCCCUUGCUUUUCUUGCUUGUUGGUUUGUUUGUUUGUUUGGUGCUAGGGACCGAGCAGGGUCCCGCACUCUACUGCAGCCCUGCAUUUACUUUGUAUUUUAAGUCAAAUGACCUACACCAACCCGUAAACUUGCUCCAUAGUCCCGUUAGGCCUUGAAAUGGUGAUCCCUCUGUCUCAUCUUCUCGAGUAGCUAGGAUUACAGGAUUGCACCAUCAGACCCAGCUAAGGGACUUUUUUCUGUUUGUUCAUUAUGAAACCUGAUGAUGUUUGAAAAUAUUUACUAUAAAAAAGGUUCACUGAG